rnacentral:rRNA from 1 species
CCUACGGGCGGCAGCAGUGGGGGAUAUUGCACAAUGGGGGAAACCCUGAUGCAGCGACGCCGCGUGAGUGAAGAAGUAUUUCGGUAUGUAAAGCUCUAUCAGCAGGGAAGAAAAAAGACGGUACCUGACUAAGAAUCCCCGGCUAACUACGUGCCAGCAGCCGCGGUAAUACGGAGGGGGCAAGCGUUAUCCGGAUUUACUGGGUGUAAAGGGAGCGUAGGAGGGAAUUCAAGUCGGAAGUGAAAUACCCGGGCGUAACCUGGGAAUUGCUUUGGAAACUGGAUGGCUGGAGUGCUGGAGAGGUGAGCGGAAUGCCAAGUGUAGCGGUGAAAUGCGUAGAUAUAAGGAGGAAAACCAGUGGCGAAGGCGGCUCACUGGACAGUAACUGACGUUGAGGCUCGAAAGCGUGGGGAGCAAACAGGAUUAGAUACCCGUGUAGUC